AGAGUUUGAUCCUGGCUCAGAUUGAACGCUGGCGGCAUGCCUUACACAUGCAAGUCGAACGGUAACAGCACUUCGGUGGCUGACGGGUGGCGAACGGGUGAGUAAUACAUCGGAACGUGCCCGAGAGUGGGGGAUAACGCAGCGAAAGCUGUGCUAAUACCGCAUACGAUCUACGGAUGAAAGCAGGGGACCGCAAGGCCUUGCGCUCACGGAGCGGCCGAUGGCAGAUUAGGUAGUUGGUGGGAUAAAAGCUUACCAAGCCGACGAUCUGUAGCUGGUCUGAGAGGACGACCAGCCACACUGGGACUGAGACACGGCCCAGACUCCUACGGGAGGCAGCAGUGGGGAAUUUUGGACAAUGGGCGAAAGCCUGAUCCAGCCAUGCCGCGUGCAGGAUGAAGGCCUUC
rnacentral:rRNA from 1 species